rnacentral:tRNA from 1 species
GGCUUUAUAGUCAAAAAUGAUAUUAGAUUGCAAAUCUAAAGGUGUAAUUUAUACUAAAGCUU